rnacentral:rRNA from 1 species
AUGUCUCAUGACAUGGACUAUACCAGUCAGGCAAUCAAUGAACUAGCUGAGAAGAAGAAACAACUUGAGGAUCAGGCAAAGAUUGAGUUAAGUAUCGAAAAGUUGAAGCUUGCCAAGGAGCAAAGGUGCAUUCUUCAAAGCCAAGCAGAUAUCAUUCAGAACAUGAGGAAGGCCAUGAAGGAAGUGGAGGGGGACAGGGACCUACUUAAGCAAGAGAAGAAGAAGCUGGAGUAUCUGAUUGCUGAUCUGCUCAAUGCUGGGCAUGCCAGCAAAGAUAAGCUGGAGAGGAUCAAGGCAAUUAUGAAUGAGUGA